GAUGAACGCUGGCGGCGUGCUUAACACAUGCAAGUCGAGCGGCAAGGCCCUGCUUUUGCGGGGUGCCCGAGUGGCGAACGGGGGAGUGACACGUGAGUAACCUUCCCUUGACUUGGGGAUAACUUCACGGAACGGGGACUAAUACCGGAUAGUAGCUCCUGCUGCAUGGGGUUGGUUGGAAAUUUUCGGCGGUUGGGGAGGGGUUGGGGGCUUGUGAGCUUGUGGGUGGGGUAGUGGCUUACCAGGGCAUGGACGGGUAGGCGGCCUGGGAGGGUAACAGGCCACGUUGGGACUGAGCUGCGGCCCAGACUCGUCCGGGAGGCAACAGUGGGGAAUAUUGCACAGUGGGAGGAGGCCUGACGCAGCAACGCAGCGUGCGGGAUGACGGCAUUCGGGUUGUAAUCCGCUUUGGCCUGAGACGAAGCGUGAGUGACGGUAACGGGUAAAGAAGCACCGGCUAACUACGUG
rnacentral:rRNA from 1 species